AUUGAACGCUGGCGGCAUGCCUUACACAUGCAAGUCGAACGGCAGCACGGGAGCAAUCCUGGUGGCGAGUGGCGAACAGGUGAGUAAAGUAUCGGAACGUGCCCAGUCGUGGGGGAUAACGUAGCGAAAGUUACGCUAAUACCGCAUACGAUCUAUGGAUGAAAGCGGGGGAUCGCAAGACCUCGCGCGAUUGGAGCGGCCGAUAUCAGAUUAGGUGGUUGGUGGGGUAAAGGCUCACCAAGCCGACGAUCUGUAGCUGGUCUGGGAGGACGACCAGCCACACUGGGACUGAGACGCGGCCCGGACUCCUACGGGAGGCAGCAGUGGGGAAUUUUGGACAAUGGGCGAAAGCCUGAUCCAGCCAUGCCGCGUGCAGGAUGAAGGCCUUCGGGUUGUAAACUGCUUUUGUACGGAACGAAAAGGUUUGGCCUAAUAAGCUGAGCUCAUGACGGUACCGUAAGAAUAAGCACCGGCUAACUACGUGCCAGCAGCCGCCGUAA
rnacentral:rRNA from 1 species